rnacentral:rRNA from 1 species
GAUGAACGCUGGCGGCGUGCCUAAUACAUGCAAGUCGAGCGAACGGACGAGAAGCUUGCUUCUCUGAUGUUAGCGGCGGACGGGUGAGUAACACGUGGAUAACCUACCUAUAAGACUGGGAUAACUUCGGGAAACCGUAGCUAAUACCGGAUAAUAUUUUGAACCGCAUGGUUCAAAAGUGAAAGACGGUCUUGCUGUCACUUAUAGAUGGAUCCGCGCUGCAUUAGCUAGUUGGUAAGGUAACGGCUUACCAAGGCAACGAUGCAUAGCCGACCUGAGAGGGUGAUCGGCCACACUGGAACUGAGACACGGUCCAGACUCCUACGGGAGGCAGCAGUAGGGAAUCUUCCGCAAUGGGCGAAAGCCUGACGGAGCAACGCCGCGUGAGUGAUGAAGGUCUUCGGAUCGUAAAAAUCUGUUAUUAGGGAAGAACAUAUGUGUAAGUAACUGUGCACAUCUUGACGGUACCUAAUCAGAAAGCCACGGCUAACUACGUG